rnacentral:rRNA from 1 species
UACGGGAGGAGCAAGCGUUGUUCGGAUUUACUGGGCGUAAAGGGCGGGUAGGCGGCCACCGCAAGUCGACUGUGAAAUCUCCGGGCUUAACCCGGAAAGGUCAGCCGAUACUGCGGGGCUAGAGUGCAGAAGGGGCAACUGGAAUUCUCGGUGUAGCGGUGAAAUGCGUAGAUAUCGAGAGGAACACCUGCGGCGAAGGCGGGUUGCUGGGCUGACACUGACGCUGAACUGCGAAAGCUAGGGGAGCGAACGGG